rnacentral:rRNA from 1 species
CUCAUAAAGUAUGUCGUAGUCCGGAUUGGAGUCUGCAACUCGACUCCAUGAAGUCGGAAUCGCUAGUAAUCGUAGAUCAGAAUGCUACGGUGAAUACGUUCCCGGGCCUUGUACACACCGCCCGUCACACCAUGGGAGUGGGUUGCAAAAGAAGUAGGUAGCUUAACCUUCGGGAGGGCGCUUACCACUUUGUGAUUCAUGACUGGGGUGAAGUCGUAACAAGGUAACCGUAGGGGAACCUGCGGUUGGAUCACCUCCUU